rnacentral:rRNA from 1 species
GCUGCAUGGGCGAAGCCUGAUGCAGCAACGCCGCGUGGGGGAUGACGGCCUUCGGGUUGUAAACCUCUUUUGGCAGGGAAGAAGCGAAAGUGACGGUACCUGCAGAAAAAGCACCGGCUAACUACGUGCCAGCAGCCGCGGUAAUACGUAGGGUGCGAGCGUUGUCCGGAAUUAUUGGGCGUAAAGAGCUCGUAGGCGGUUCGUCGCGUCUGCUGUGAAAUCCCGAGGCUCAACCUCGGGCCUGCAGUGGGUACGGGCGAACUAGAGUGCAGUAGGGGAGACUGGAAUUCCUGGUGUAGCGGUGGAAUGCGCAGAUAUCAGGAGGAACACCGAUGGCGAAGGCAGGUCUCUGGGCUGUAACUGACGCUGAGGAGCGAAAGCGUGGGGAGCGAACAGGAUUAGAUACCCUGGUAGUCCACGCCGUAAACGUUGGGCGCUAGAUGUGGGGACCAUUCCACGGUUUCCGUGUCGCAGCUAACGCAUUAAGCGCCCCGCCUGGGGAGUACGGCCGCAAGGCUAAAACUCAAUGAAAUUUGACGG